rnacentral:rRNA from 1 species
AUUGAACGCUGGCGGCAUGCCUUACACAUGCAAGUCGGACGGUAACAGGUCUUCGGAUGCUGACGAGUGGCGAACGGGUGAGUAAUACAUCGGAACGUGCCCGAUCGUGGGGGAUAACGAAGCGAAAGCUUUGCUAAUACCGCAUAAGAUCUACGGAUGAAAGCAGGGGACCGCAAGGCCUUGCGCGAACGGAGCGGCCGAUGGCAGAUUAGGUAGUUGGUGGGAUAAAAGCUUACCAAGCCGACGAUCUGUAGCUGGUCUGAGAGGACGACCAGCCACACUGGGACUGAGACACGGCCCAGACUCCUACGGGAGGCAGCAGUGGGGAAUUUUGGACAAUGGGCGAAAGCCUGAUUCAGCCAUGCCGCGUGCAGGAUGAAGGCCUUCGGGUUGUAAACUGCUUUUGUACGGAACGAAAAGACUCUUUCUAAUAAAGAGGGUCCAUGACGGUACCGUAAGAAUAAGCACCGGCUAACUACGUGCCAGCCGCCGCCGUAAUAC